rnacentral:rRNA from 1 species
ACGAACGCUGGCGGCGUGCUUAACACAUGCAAGUCGAACGAAGAGCGAUGGAAGCUUGCUUCUAUCAAUCUUAGUGGCGAACGGGUGAGUAACGCGUAAUCAACCUGCCCUUCAGAGGGGGACAACAGUUGGAAACGACUGCUAAUACCGCAUACGAUCUAACCUCGGCAUCGAGGAUAGAUGAAAGGUGGCCUCUACAUGUAAGCUAUCACUGAAGGAGGGGAUUGCGUCUGAUUAGCUAGUUGGAGGGGUAACGGCCCACCAAGGCGAUGAUCAGUAGCCGGUCUGAGAGGAUGAACGGCCACAUUGGGACUGAGACACGGCCCAGACUCCUACGGGAGGCAGCAGUGGGGAAUCUUCCGCAAUGGACGAAAGUCUGACGGAGCAACGCCGCGUGAGUGAUGACGGCCUUCGGGUUGUAAAGCUCUGUUAAUCGGGACGAAAGGCCUUCUUGCGAAUAGUGAGAAGGAUUGACGGUACCGGAAUAGAAAGCCACGGCUAACUACGU